UCAUGGAUGGAAAUGUGUGCAAAUAC
rnacentral:piRNA from 1 species